UGAACUGAACUGAAUCUCUAUCAGGAUGAUGCUGUGACAGGAGAAGCAGCUGGCCUGGCCCUAGGUUUGGUUAUGUUGGGCUCUAAAAAUGCCCAGGCUAUUGAGGACAUGGUCGGCUAUGCACAGGAAACUCAACAUGAGAAGAUUCUCCGUGGUCUUGCAGUUGGCAUUGUUAGUGACGUACGGGAGGAUGGAAGAGGCUGAUGCUCUCAUUGAAUCUCUCUGCCAUGAUAAGGAUCCAGUUCUUUGAUCUGGAAUGUGUACUGUAGCCAUGGCUUAUUGUGGCUCAGGAAACAACAAAGCUAUUCGACGCCUGCUACAUGUUGCUGUAAGUGAUGUUAAUGAUGACGUCAGGAGGGCAGCAGUAGAGUCACUUGCGUUCGUUCUCUUCAGGACCCCUGAACAGUGCCCUAGCGUUGUGUCAUUGUUGUCAGAGAGUUACAAUCCUCACGUGCGUUAUGGGGCUGCCACGGCCCUGGGCAUCUGCUGUGCUGGUACAGGAGACAAGGAAGCAAUUAAUUUGCUCGAACCAAUGACAAAUGACCCUGUGAACUAUGUGAGGCAAGGAGCUCUCAUAGCUUCGGCUCUCAUCGUGAUCCAGCAGACUGAAAUCACUUGUCCAAAGGUGAAUCAGUUCAGACAGCUGUAUUCCAGAGUCAUCAAUGAUAAGCAUGAUGAUGUUAUGGCCAAGUUUGGCGCUAUUCUGGCCCAGGGCAUACUGGACGCAGGUGGACAUAAUGUCACGAUCUCCUUGCAGUCCAGAACUGGACACAUCCAUAUGCCUUCUCUGGUUGGCAUCCUUGUCUUUACCCAGUUCUGGUUCUGGUUUCCUCUUUCACACUUCCUGUCAUUGGCUUAUACCCCUACCUGUGACAUUGGCCUGAACAAAGACUUAAAGAUGCCGAAAGUUCAAUAUAAACCAAACUGUAAACCAUCAGCAUUUGCGUAUCAUGCCCCUCUGGAAGUACCAGAAGAAAAAGAAAAGGAAAAGGUUUCCACUGCUGUGUUAUCUAUAACAGCCAAGGCCAAAAAGAAGGACAAAGAAAAGGAAAAAAAGGAAGAGGAGAAAAUGGAAGUGGAUGAGGCAGAGAAAAAGGAAGAAAAAGAGAAGAAAAAAGAACCUGAGCCAAACUUCCAGUUAUUGGAUAACCCAGCCUGAGUUAUGCCUGCCCAGCUUAAGGUCCUAAGCAUGCUGGAAACCUGUAGAUACCAGCCUUUCAAACCACUGUGCAUUGGAGGCAUCAUCAUUCUGAAGGAUACCAGUGAAGACACUGAAGAGCUGGUGGAACCCGUGGCAGCUCAUGGCCCAAAAAUUGAGGAGGAAGAACAAGAG